AUACGUAGGGGGCGAGCGUUAUCCGGAAUUAUUGGGCGUAAAGAGUGCGUAGGUGGUUUUGUAAGCGCGGGGUGAAAGGCAAUGGCUCAACCAUUGUAAGCCCUGCGAACUGUGAGACUUGAGUGCAGGAGAGGAAAGUGGAAUUCCUAGUGUAGCGGUGAAAUGCGUAGAUAUUAGGAGGAACACCAGUGGCGAAGGCGGCUUUCUGGACGGAAACUGACACUGAGGCACGAAAGCGUGGGGAGCAAACAGGAUUAGAUACCCUGGUAGUCCACGCCGUAAACGAUGAGCACUAGGUGUCGGGGUCGCAAGGCUUCGGUGCCGCAGUUAACGCAUUAAGUGCUCCGCCUGGGGAGUACGCACGCAAGUGUGAAACUCAAAUGAAUUGACGGGG
rnacentral:rRNA from 1 species